rnacentral:lncRNA from 1 species
CUCGGUCUUGGCAAUAUGGAGAUGCAAUAUUUCUUAACUGGUUUAAGUGAGGCAAAGGAUUGAAAGAACUGUUUUACAAAGCAAAACUAACUGAAACAAUCUUUCAUGGGUCCAAAAUUUCGCUUUAAUAAAUUCGUGCGACUUCAAAAAUUCGGUAUGUUCAAUAACCACAGGUAAGUCAGAUUUUGAUUUUUGGUAAAGAGAAAGAAGUAUGAUAAGCAUGAAAAGCAGUUG